AGAGCAAUCCUGGUGGCGAGUGGCGAACGGGUGAGUAAUAUAUCGGAACGUGCCCAGUCGUGGGGGAUAACGCAGCGAAAGCUGUGCUAAUACCGCAUACGAUCUCUGGAUGAAAGCGGGGGACCGCAAGGCCUCGCGCGAUUGGAGCGGCCGAUAUCAGAUUAGCUAGUUGGUGGGGUAAAAGCCCACCAAGGCGACGAUCUGUAGCUGGUCUGAGAGGACGACCAGCCACACUGGAACUGAGACACGGUCCAGACUCCUACGGGAGGCAGCAGUGGGGAAUUUUGGACAAUGGGCGCAAGCCUGAUCCAGCAAUGCCGCGUGCAGGAUGAAGGCCUUCGGGUUGUAAACUGCUUUUGUACGGAACGAAACGGUUCCCUUUAAUACAGGGGGCUAAUGACGGUACCGUAAGAAUAAGCACCGGCUAACUACGUGCCAGCAGCCGCGGUAAUACGUAGGGUGCGAGCGUUAAUCGGAAUUACUGGGCGUAAAGCGUGCGCAGGCGGUUAUAUAAGACAGAUGUGAAAUCCCCGGGCUCAACCUGGGACCUGCAUUUGUGACUGUAUAGCUAGAGUACGGUAGAGGGGGAUGGAAUUCCGCGUGUAGCAGUGAAAUGCGUAGAUAUGCGGAGGAACACCGAUGGCGAAGGCAAUCCCCUGGACCUGUACUGACGCUCAUGCACGAAAGCGUGGGGAGCAAACAGGAUUAGAUACCCUGGUAGUCCACGCCCUAAACGAUGUCAACUGGUUGUUGGGUC
rnacentral:rRNA from 1 species